UACGUAGGGGGCAAGCGUUGUCCGGAAUUAUUGGGCGUAAAGCGCGCGCAGGCGGUUCUUUAAGUCUGGUGUAUAAGUGCGGGGCUCAACCCCGUGAGGCACUGGAAACUGGGGAACUUGAGUGCAGAAGAGGAGAGCGGAAUUCCACGUGUAGCGGUGAAAUGCGUAGAGAUGUGGAGGAACACCAGUGGCGAAGGCGGCUCUCUGGACUGUAACUGACGCUGAGGCGCGAAAGCGUGGGGAGCAACAGG
rnacentral:rRNA from 1 species